AGUGGCGGACGGGUGAGAUAAUGUCUGGGAAACUGCGAUGGAGGGGGAUAACUACUGGAAACGGUAGCUAAUACCGCAUAACGUCCCAAGACCAAAGAGGAAGGGACCUUCGGGCCUCUUGCCAUCGGAUGUGCCCAGAUGGGAUUAGCUAGUAGGUGGCGUAACGGCUCACCUAGAAGGACGAUCCCUAGCUGGUCUGAGAGGAUGACCAGCCACACUGGAACUGAGACACGGUCCAGACUCCUAAAAUGGCACCGCAGUGGGGAAUAUUGCACAAUGAGCCCAAGCCUGAUGCAGCCAUGCCGCCUGUAAGAAAAGUUGCCUUCCGGGUGUAAAGUAACUUCCAGCCGGGGAAGAAGGGAGUAAAGUCAAUACCUUUGCUCAAUGAAACGUUAACCGGCAGAAGGAAGCACCCGGCUAACUCCGUGCCCAGCAGCCGCGGUAAUACGGAGGGCGCAAGCGUUAAUCGGAAAUUACUGGGCGUAAAGCGCACGCAGGCGGUUUGUUAAGUCAGAUGUGAAUCCCCGAGGCUCAACCCCUGGGAACUGCAUCUGAUACUGGCAAGCUUGAGUCUCGUAGAGGGGGGGUAGAAUUCCAGCUGUAGCGGUGAAAUGCGUAGAGAUCUGGAGGAAUACCGGUGGCGAAGGCGGCCCCCUGGACGAAGACACGCUCAGGUGCGCCAAAGCGUGGGGAGCAAACAGGAUUAGAUACCCUGGUAGUCCACGCCGUAAAACGAUGUCGACUUGGAGGCUUGUGCCCUUGAGGCGUGGCUUCCGGAGCUAACGCGUUAAGUCGACCGCCUGGGGAGUACGGCCGUUCAAGGGUUAAAACUCAAAUGAAAUUGACGGGGGCCCGCACAAGCGGGUGGAGCAUGUGGUUUAAUUCGAUGCAACGCCCGGAAGAACCCUUUACCCUGGGUCUUGACAUCCACGGAAGUUUCAG
rnacentral:rRNA from 1 species